ACUAAAAAUAAUUUUAGAAAACAGUUUUUAAAAAUUAGCUUUUCAAAUAGAUUUUUUAAUUUUUAAUUUUUAAAAACUAAAAUACUGUUUUUGGAAAGGGAUUCAAGUCUUUCUCUCUCAUUAUGCUAACCAUCUUCCCCAACCUCUCACCAUCACCAUUUUCAAGUUUCUUUAAACUCGAACAUAUAAACAAAAACAAAUCCACAACAACAACUCAAAUUCGAAAAUGAAAAAAACCUUACAAACCAAAUCACAAACGCAAAGGAAGGAGGGUGAUCAAUUUCGCUUCAGAUGGUGGUACGUGCGAAUGCAUGGUGAGAUGCGGCUGGUUCGUGUUGCUUCGUUGAUGUUUUGCAGUGCAGUUGUGCGCACGAGGGGAUGGAUGCACUAAGAGAGUUGCUCGCGUCAUUUAUGUUGAUGAUGUGGUUUGUGGAAGAAUAGUUGUUGGAUAUAUGGUUUGUGAAGAGGAUGCAGUGAAGAUUGAAGGAAAAUAAGGUGGGGAGAUAAUGAAAAGGGAGAGUGAUGAAGAUGAAGGUAGUCGAUGAAGAUUUGAUGUGGAUAGUGAAUCUCGAGUGGUUGUGGUGAGCAAAAUGCAGAUUUUUGUAUGUGUUUUCUGUGUAUUCUCAUCUCAAAUUAUCUUAGGAUUCAUAGGAGGAAUUAGGUUAGUAUUUUCAAGUGUGUGAGUGUGUAAAGUGUGUGAGAGACACAAAUUGUGGGAGUGUAGAAGAGUGGAGAGCAAGUUUGUUAGAAUUUGAGUGAGAAAUGGUGUGGAACGUGUGAGUUUUUGUGUUGUCCGCGUGAAGAAGUUAUGGUAUAAUGUAUCGAUUUGGUCUGUUCUGAGGCCAUAAGCUCUUGUUGUCAGUCUGACAUAUUCUCACCCUUAAUUGUAAGUAAAUAAAUUAAAAAACAUAAUUAAUGAGAGUAUUAUUUUUUUUGAGCA